rnacentral:rRNA from 1 species
UACGUAGGUGACAAGCGUUGUCCGGAUUUACUGGGCGUAAAGAGCGCGCAGGCGGUCGUUCAAGUCGAGUGUGAAAGCCCCCGGCUCAACUGGGGAGGGUCAUUCGAUACUGAUCGACUCGAAGGCGGGAGAGGGUAGUGGAAUUCCCGGUGUAGUGGUGAAAUGCGUAGAUAUCGGGAGGAACACCAGUGGCGAAGGCGGCUCUCUGGAACGCAACUGACGCUGAGACGCGAAAGCGUGGGGAGCAAACAGG